rnacentral:rRNA from 1 species
ACGGCUAACUACGUGCCAGCAGCCGCGGUAAUACGUAGGUGACAAGCGUUGUUCGGAUUCAUUGGGCGUAAAGGGUCCGCAGGUGGUUUGAUAAGUCUGACGUGAAAUACCGGAGCUCAACUCCGGAACUGCGUUGGAGACUGUUGAACUGGAGUAUCGGAGAGGAAAUUGGAAUUCCAGGUGUAGCGGUGGAAUGCGUAGAUAUCUGGAAGAACAUCGACAGCGAAGGCAGAUUUCUGGACGAUAACUGACACUCAGGGACGAAAGCAUGGGGAGCAAACAGGAUUAGAUACCCUGGUAGUCCAUGCCCUAAACGUUGUAAACUUGAUAUGGGAAGAUUUACUCCUUUCCGUGUCGAAGCUAACGCGAUAAGUUUACCGCCUGGGAACUACGGCCGCAAGGCUAAAACUCAAAGGAAUUGACGGGGGCCCGCACAAGCAGCGGAGCAUGUGGCUUAAUUCGAGGCAACGCGAAGAACCUUACCCGGAUUUGACAUAUACCGGAAGGGCGUGGAAACACGUCUGCUCGCAAGAGUCGGUAUACAGGUGCUGCAUGGCUGUCGUCAGCUCGUGCCGUGAGGUGUUCGGUUAAGUCCGGCAACGAGCGCAACCCAUGUCAUCAGUUGCCAGCAGGUAAAGCUGGGCACUCCGAUGAGACUGCCCGUGUUAAGCGGGAGGAAGGCGUGGAUGACGUCAAGUCCGUAUGGCCUUUAUAUCCGGGGCUGCACACGUGCUACAAUGGUCGGUACAGAAGGAAGCAAAGCCGCGAGGCGGAGCAGAUCCCCAAAACCGUGCCUUAGUUCAGAUUGCAGUCUGCAACUCGACUGCAUGAAGCCGGAAUCGCUAGUAAAGGCGUAUCAGCUACGACGCCUUGAAUACGUUCCCGGGCCUUGUACACACCGCCCGUCACAUCAUGGGAGCUGAUUGCACCCGAAGUCGCUGCCCCGACCCGCAAGGGAGGGAGGCGCCUAAGGUGUGGUUAGUGACUGGGAUGAAGUCGUAACAAGGUAGCCGUUGGGGAACCAGCGGCUG